rnacentral:tRNA from 1 species
CGCGCCGCCUGGGGCACGGCGCCCAAGCUGCGUGCCUGGCAGCAGGAGGCGUUCGAGCUGUACUUCCGGCGCGA